rnacentral:rRNA from 1 species
GAUGAACGCUGGCGGCGUGCCUAAUACAUGCAAGUCGAGCGAACAGAUGAGGAGCUUGCUCCUCUGACGUUAGCGGCGGACGGGUGAGUAACACGUGGAUAACCUACCUAUAAGACUGGGAUAACUUCGGGAAACCGGAGCUAAUACCGGAUAAUAUAUUGAACCGCAUGGUUCAAUAGUGAAAGACGGUUUUGCUGUCACUUAUAGAUGGAUCCGCGCCGCAUUAGCUAGUUGGUAAGGUAACGGCUUACCAAGGCAACGAUGCGUAGCCGACCUGAGAGGGUGAUCGGCCACAUUGGAACUGAGACACGGUCCAGACUCCUACGGGAGGCAGCAGUAGGGAAUCUUCCGCAAUGGGCGAAAGCCUGACGGAGCAACGCCGCGUGAGUGAUGAAGGUCUUCGGAUCGUAAAACUCUGUUAUUAGGGAAGAACAAAUGUGUAAGUAACUAUGCACGUCUUGACGGUACCUAAUCAGAAAGCCACGGCUAACUACGUG